rnacentral:snRNA from 11 species
UCGGCUUCUCGGCCUUUUGGCUAAGAUCAAGUGUAGUAUCUGUUCUUAUCAGUUUAAUAUCUGAUAUGUCCUCUAUUUGAGGACUAUAUAUUAAAAAAAUGGUUAUUCUUAUAGAGUUUUUUGCGCUGAAUUCAGAUCUG